AUACGGAGGGAGCAAGCGUUAUUCGGAAUCACUGGGCGUAAAGGACGCGUAGGCGGGUUUGUAAGUCAGGUGUGAAAUCCUACAGCUCAACUGUAGAACUGCACUUGAAACUACAGACCUAGAGUAUGAAAGGGGCAGAUGGAAUUAGUGGUGUAGGGGUAAAAUCCGUAGAUAUCACUAGGAAUACCGAAAGCGAAGGCGAUCUGCUGGGACAUUACUGACGCUGAGGCGUGAAAGCGUGGGGAGCAAACAGAAUUAGAAACCCGAGUAGUCC
rnacentral:rRNA from 1 species